rnacentral:rRNA from 1 species
AUGCGGUAUGACGGUACCCUUUCGAAUAAGAGGUUGCUAACUCUGUGCCAGCAGCAGCGGUAAUACAGAGACCUCGAGCGUUAUCCGGAUUUACUGGGCGUAAAGCGUCUGUAGGGGGUUUGUUAAGUUCCAAGUAAAAUCUUAAGGCUCAACUUUAAGUUCGCUUGGAAAACUAAUAAACUGGAGUCCAGCAGAGGUGCAUGGAACUUGCGGUGUAGGAGUGAAAUCCGUUGAUAUCGCAAGGAACACCAAAGGCGAAGGCAUUGCACUGGGCUGGUACUGACCCUGAGAGACGAAAGCGUGGGGAGCAAAACGGAUUAGAUACCCGUGUAGUCCACGCUGUAAACGAUGGAUACUAGAUGUUCGGGGAUUCGACCCCCUGGGUGUCACAGCUAACGCGUUAAGUAUCCCGCCUGGGAAGUACGGCCGCAAGGCUAAAACUCAAAGGAAUAGACGGGGAUCCGCACAAGCGGUGGAGCGUCUGGUUUAAUUUGAUAGUAAGCAAUGGACCUCACCAAGGUUUGACAUCCUAUGACAACCCUGGAAACAGGGCUUCCUUCGGGCAUAGUGACAGGUGCUGCAUGGUCGUCGUCAGUUCGUGCCGUGAGGUGUUCCGUUAAGUCGGGAAACGAACGAAACCCUCGUCGCAUGUUACAAAUUUCAUGCGAGACUGCCCGGGUCAACCGGGAGGAAGGCGGGGAUGACGUCAGAUCAGCAUGGCCCUUAUACCUUGGGCUACACAGGCGCUACAAUGGCCGGUACAAAGGGUUGCAAAACCGCGAGGUGAAGCUAAUCCCAUAAAGCCGGUCCAAGUUCGGAUUGGAGGCUGCAACUCGCCUCCAUGAAGUUGGAAUCGCUAGUAAUCGUGGAUCAGCCAUACCACGGUGAUACGUUCCCGGAUCUUGUACUCACCGCCCGUCACACCAAGAGAGUUGGUAGCUCCUGAAGC